UGAAGUCGGAUGAGCUUCAUUUGCCAAAAAACUGUUGAUUAAAAACAUACCUAAACCAAUGUUGAGAGCAGAUUAAAUGGAAGAAGAAUCCUAUUGUUGUUUGUGACUUGAGUAGGUUUAAGAUGGCAGUAAUGUUGCUGGUUAGUGGAUUGAUUCUGUACAAGAAGAAGAAGAGGAGUGUUUUUGGUCAUUCGUCAUCUGGUCCUUGCGGACUCGGAAAUUUAUCACUGAUGGGAAUCCUUCGUUGGACCGUAUCAUAUCUACAUCCUUGGUAGAUUCAACUUCGGAUCCAAUGUCCUAUUUAUAUGGGAAAAUCGGCAUGAAUUUGCAAAUUUGCAAUGUAUGUGAAGGAUGUUGCUGUGGAUGAUGAAACAAAUGUUCAGGAAUGGCCAUUGGCCAGACAGCGGUAGUCUCGAAAGCCUUCCCAUAUGUUGAUUCAAAAUUGUAUCUAAUGUGAUUUAAGAGAGUGGAAAACAUUGGAGUAACAUCAGGGGAAAUCGGCUUUUGAGUUCAAAGACACGAGCACAAUUUUAAUCCUUCCCUUGGUAAUAGAUUCAAUUUAAGGCAGCAAUUAACUACAACAUGUAAAUAUUGAAAAAUGUCUUAUCUUUUGACAUUUGAAAUUGAGAUUAAUAGAAAAAGAAUUAGUCAACCGAAGACGUGGUAGUGGAUGUUGAUAUACAAAGGACAUUGGGAAUUAUCUCAUGUAAUAUCUUUUUUCUAUUGUUAUAGACUUAUAGUCCAAGAUAUAUGGAAUGAUGUUUCAGUUGAUGCGAAAUCAGUUUA